rnacentral:rRNA from 1 species
AUGAACGCUGGCGGCGUGCCUAAUACCUGCAAGUAGAACGCUGAAGGAGGAGCUUGCUCUUCUGGAUGAGUUGCGAACGGGUGAGUAACGCGUAGGUAACCUGCCUGGUAGCGGGGGAUAACUAUUGGAAACGAUAGCUAAUACCGCAUGACAACAGUUAUUGCAUGAUAACUGUUUAAAAGGGGCAACUGCUCCACUACCAGAUGGACCUGCGUUGUAUUAGCUAGUUGGUGAGGUAACGGCUCACCAAGGCGACGAUACAUAGCCGACCUGAGAGGGUGAUCGGCCACACUGGGACUGAGACACGGCCCAGACUCCUACGGGAGGCAGCAGUAGGGAAUCUUCGGCAAUGGACGGAAGUCUGACCGAGCAACGCCGCGUGAGUGAAGAAGGUUUUCGGAUCGUAAAGCUCUGUUGUAAGAGAAGAACGAGUGUGAGAGUGGAAAGUUCACACUGUGUCGGUAUCUUACCAGAAAGAGACGGCUAACUACGUG